rnacentral:tRNA from 1 species
GCCAGAGUAGCUCAAUGGUAGAGCACUGCUUUCGUAAAGCAGAUGUUACGAGUUCGAGUCUCGUCUCUGGCUCCA